CCUGUGAGUUAGUUCCCUUGGUUAGAACAUGGUGCUGACAAUACCAAGGUUGUGGGUUCGAUUCCCGUGUAUUCCAGCAUUGCAGGG